CCAGACUCCUACGGGAGGCAGCAGUGGGGAAUAUUGCACAAUGGGGGAAACCCUGAUGCAGCGACGCCGCGUGUGGGAAGACGGUCCUCUGGAUUGUAAACCACUGUCCCCAGGGACGAAGAUGACGGUACCUGGGGAGGAAGCUCCGGCUAACUACGUGCCAGCAGCCGCGGUAAUACGUAGGGAGCGAGCGUUGUCCGGAAUUACUGGGUGUAAAGGGAGCGUAGGCGGGACUGCAAGUUGGGUGUCAAAUCUACCGGCUCAACCGGUAGCCGCACUCAAAACUGCAGUUCUUGAGUGAAGUAGAGGCAGGCGGAAUUCCUAGUGUAGCGGUGAAAUGCGUAGAUAUUAGGAGGAACACCAGUGGCGAAGGCGGCCUGCUGGGCCUUUACUGACGCUGAGGCUCGAAAGCUAGGGGAGCGAACAGGAUUAGAUACCCGUGUAGG
rnacentral:rRNA from 1 species